rnacentral:rRNA from 1 species
UAAAUUAAUUUUUUAUAAAUGUUAGUAUUGCAUACUAUUUAAGGAAAAUUUUAUUGACUAUAAAAAAUAGAAAUAAAAGGUAGAAAAAUGUUUAAUUUUAUUGUUUCAUAAUAAAAAUUAGCAUUUUUAGUGUUGAAAUGUCGACUUUUAUAAUAUCUGUAUUUAAAAAUAUAUUAGAAAAUUAUAUAUAAUAAAAUGAUUAAUUGAAAAGUAAAAUUUGUAGUGUUUAAAUUUUAGGUUUUACAACCUUUUCAGUUUUUAUUAUCGGAAAUUAUUUUAAAAAUUUAAUAAUAUUUUAUUAAAUAUAAAAUCUUAAAAUUAGUAGAUUUUAUAAACAAAGUAGAAUAAAUAAAUUUAAUUAAAGAACUUGAACUCUUAAUCAAAUGUUUUUUAAAGACUUAGGUUUUUAAAUAAAACUGGCUUCUGCCCUAUGAAUUUUAAAUGGCAGUCUUAGCGUGAGGACAUUAAGGUAGCAAAAUAAUUUGUGCUUUUAAUGAGUUCCAGUAUGAAUGGAGUUAUUGUUUAGUUAUAUUUUUAUUUUAUGUUGAAUUUAAUAUUUGUUUAAGAAAAAACAAAUAUAUUUGUACAAAGAUAAGUCUUCGGAAAUUCUAUUAUUUUUAAUUAAUUUUUAUUAAAAAUAAGUUUUCUAGGGUAGAAUUUUAUGUAAUUAUUUUUUACUAAUUAUAAUUUAAAGAAUUACUCCGGAGUUAACAGAAAAUCAUACCUAAUCUAGUUCUUAUAGUAAGGUAAGUUUUACAUCGAUGUUGUAUUUUGGUAAGCCAAGAGAGGAGAAGGUUUGGUAAUUUUAGACUGUUCUUCUGUUAAUUAACCAAACGUGAUAUUAGUUUAAUUCAUCGUGAGAUAGAAUUGUUUAUCUUGACAAAUAUUUAUAUGAAAAGUGUUUAGUACGAAAGGAACAAUAUAAAAGUUUUAAACUUUAAA